AAUAACCGCGUGGGAGAGAACGGGCAAUCGCUCGUCACCGAAGGCGCAAAUUUCCGCCCGGAAACGCUCAGGUACCCGAACCACGUGCUCGUC
rnacentral:ncRNA from 2 species